AAACAAUACAAACAUUGAAGUUCUGUAAUGUAUGUAAAUUGUAAACAUGUCAGACACACAGUGGUCAGGCAUUAACUUUCACUGAAGAAUGGAUACACGUACCUGCACACAGACAAAAUGUUGUUUUAAAAAAUCCAUAAAAAACACAAUUUCACGAGAAGGAAUGCAAAUAUAUCUUAUAUCAUAUAUAGUGAUGGUCAUAUGGAUGUAAAUACUCUUUAUUUCUGGAAUAUGCGGGCAAUAUUCACGAAGCAGAAUUAUGACCAUGGGCAAGGCCGGCGAAAGCCAGACACGGGCCCCGGGACAAAUUGGUGAACACGGGCGUCCGCCCCCCUUGACUCUCGCACCGAUGGCCAUACGUUUUUUUUUUACCCGUAGCCGUGUCGCACGGCCGUUGCUAGGACUUUGCCUUGGGGGUGAGGUUAGAUUUACCUGAAUAUUUCCAACUUUUUACGUGAUUUUGCGACGCCCGCGAGGUGCCACCAUGGUUGGCGCCAAGAAAUUUUUAGAGUUUUUCCUACCCAAUAUUUCAAUAUUUUAGUACUGCCUAACAAUGAAGAUAAGUAAAAUAACUACUGAUCAAUUGACAGUGUUACUUACAGUUUAACGUGACUAGGAAACUUGAGAAAAUUUUGGAAAUUUGGAGUCUCCAGAUCGUGAGAAAGGGUAUUUGACCAUGUCUGCCCUUCCCCGCCGGGCACAACACGUGAGUGAACGUCUUUAAUUAGUUGAUCGAUUGUUAACUUUAAUUCUGAUUCAGAGCAGAGGGUUCACUUUUUUAUGCCUUGAUAAUUACCUGAAUUUACCUGAAAAUCUGCUGGAAAUGUACCUGAAAUUACUCAUGAACAAUUAUUGAGGGGGGGAGGGGGGGGGGGUGCUGCACCCCACAUCCGCCCCGGUCGCUACGGCCCUGGCCGUGCCACCGACGGAGGAAUUGCCGGUAAAUUUAAUGUGCCUAUUUGAAAAUGAAAAAUUUUAGUGUGCCUAUUUGCUGUACGUUUACGUUACGUUACGUUUAAGUACGUAUUACGAUCGAUCAGCGGACAGUGAGCAAGUAGCCGUACUUCAUUUAGGGCAAACAUAAACGAUGAUAAACGAUACGAACAUUUUACUGACAUUUCCGGGCCCUUCUGAACACUCCGGGCCCCGGGUAUCCGCCCCCCCCCUCCCGCCGGCCUUGACGAUGGCCAUGGGAAUAUUAAAGCUUAAAGCGUGAUAAUAAUAAGUCUGUGAUGAUC